rnacentral:rRNA from 1 species
CCUACGGGAGGCAGCAGUGAGGAAUAUUGGUCAAUGGGCGAAAGCCUGAACCAGCCAAGUCGCGUGAGGGAUGACGGCUCUAUGGGUUGUAAACCUCUUUUAUAUGGGAAUAAAAUGUUCCACGUGUGGGAUUUUGUAUGUACCUUAUGAAUAAGGAUCGGCUAACUCCGUGCCAGCAGCCGCGGUAAUACGGAGGAUCCGAGCGUUAUCCGGAUUUAUUGGGUGUAAAGGGAGCGUAGGUGGAUUGUUAAGUCAGUUGUGAAAGUUUGUGGCUCAACCGUAAAAUUGCAGUUGAAACUGGCAGGCUGGAGUGCAGUAGAGGUAGGCGGAAUUCGUGGUGUAGCGGUGAAAUGCUUAGAUAUCACGAAGAACUCCGAUUGCGAAGGCAGCCUACUGGACGGUGACUGACGCUGAGGCUCGAAAGUGUGGGGAUCAAACAGGAUUAGAUACCCGGGUAGUC